AUUGAACGCUGGCGGCAGGCCUAACACAUGCAAGUCGAGCGGAUGAAGGGAGCUUGCUCCUGGAUUCAGCGGCGGACGGGUGAGUAAUGCCUAGGAAUCUGCCUGGUAGUGGGGGAUAACGUCCGGAAACGGGCGCUAAUACCGCAUACGUCCUGAGGGAGAAAGUGGGGGAUCUUCGGACCUCACGCUAUCAGAUGAGCCUAGGUCGGAUUAGCUAGUUGGUGGGGUAAAGGCCUACCAAGGCGACGAUCCGUAACUGGUCUGAGAGGAUGAUCAGUCACACUGGAACUGAGACACGGUCCAGACUCCUACGGGAGGCAGCAGUGGGGAAUAUUGGACAAUGGGCGGAAGCCUGCUCCAGCCAUGCCGCGUGUGUGAAGAAGGUCUUCGGAUUGUAAAGCACUUUAAGUUGGGAGGAAGGGCAGUAAGUUAAUACCUUGCUGUUUUGACGUUACCAACAGAAUAAGCACCGGCUAACUUCGUG
rnacentral:rRNA from 1 species